CUUUCUCUUCUUCAGGUAACUCCCACUGGUGUCCUGUGGCAGCUGUGAACUGGAUUAAUGCUGUCUCUCCUGGUUUUUGAGUCAUUCUCAGAUACCCUGCAAGGAGUUAAGUUCCCUGCUAAUUUUUAACGACAUUGAGGCUUCCAGGAUGUUCUACCUGUGGAUAUGCUUGAGUCUGUUCUUUGCUCUACAAAGCACCGUAUCAUCAGAUCAAGCUGUGUCAGUGAAUUGCAGCAAGACUGCAGAAGUUGGACAAAGUGUGACUCUAAAUUGUACCAUAAAUUGGAAAGAUGGCUCAAACUGUAGAGUUUUGGAUAUAUAUACCAUGGAGAACAAAAGUGAGCGCAUACAAUGUAACAGCAGUUUGACAAAACACAUCUGUAAAGGGGAUCGUCUGAAGUAUGUGUCAGUGACCGUCCCAAGUGUCACGAAAGAGGUGAACGUUACAGUUGAAAUCAAUUCAGGCUGUGGUAUGGCUGAAUCCCAUCCUGUACAACUAUUCCCUACUGCAGGAAAUGGACAAGGAAUGCAGGAGAGGUCACAUGUGAUGGCCGUCGUACUCUGUGUUUUUCCCACAGCCGUGUCCAUUUUCUCUCUAUAGAAGUCACAGACACACAGAAAUGUAAGUGACACAGAUUCUGCGCUGGGAAUUAAAGACUGAUUGUGGUGUUAUGUGGCAUGUAUUUGUUGUUUAUGAAUGUGGAUCCACCUGCUUCCCAAAAACAUUACUCGAUAGGUUUAUACAAACAACAACAACGAGCACAGCUGCAGCUGAAUAUUGUCUUCUGUGCUCCUGAGAGGAGCUUUGUUACAGAAAUACUGUUUACUUUCAUUCAGUGAUGUGUGAACACUGCCUCUGUACAGCAUUUAUACUGUCAAAAUGUACACAAGCCUACAAUGUCUCCAGUUCAUGGUGGGAUAG